CGUCGGCUAAAGCUUUAAAUAUCGUCGGCUAAAGUUGCUAGGUUUUUGAAAAAAAAAACUGCAGAAACUUUCGGCCACCUCCAAUCACCACCAAAAUUUGACAGAAUCUUCCUCUCAACGUUUCGAACAACUUUCUAGAAGAAGUCGAAGCCCAAUUCUAAGCCUAAACAGGUCAAUUGAAUCAAAAUAUAAAAAUCCCCAAUUUUAAACCCUAAAAACUUCAAAUAUUCGAUUCUCCUCACACACACCGAAUCGAGUUACCAAAUUCUAAGGGAAUGUAGUACUAAUCAAACUCAACUUAUCCAUAUAUAGAACUCACCAAAUGGUGACAUGAGGAAGGAGAAAUUCGAUCGACACCGAAUCCGAACCGGCAGAGUUUUGGAGCUCGAUUUAUCUCUCACGGCGGCGCCACUCGAUGCGCCACUCGAUGCACCACCUAUCCAGCAAUGAAGUAGAGACGACGGCGAAGCUUUUGGGACAAGUGUGGCGGUCUUCGGUGGCUUGACGGCGGAGCUAGGCCAAGAAGAAAAUCUGGCAGGCGAAAUAGACUUCUUACCAUCCACCUUCGGUAAAACUCCUAUAUAAAGAACUUUAGCCGACGAAAUUCUUUAUUUUCGUCGGCUAAACUCUUUUGAAAAUUUUGGUUGACCGCCAAAAAAUUUUGGUUGAAAAUUUUAAAAAUUUUUCGACUUUAGCCGACGACUUUUCAUAUAUUUUCGUUAGCUAAAGUCCUUUGAAAAUUUUUACCGCCCAAAAAUUUUUGACCUUAGCCGACGACUUUUCAAAUAUUUUCGUCGGCUAAAGUCCUUUGGAAUUUGGUUUACCGCCCAAAAAUUUUUUACCUUAGCCGACGACUUUUUUAAUAUCUUGUCGGCUAAAGUCUAUAAAUUCACGAAAACGCUCAUAUCUCCCUCUAUAUUACGUAGUUUGGUCAAACCUUCCACACGAAAAACUUUCACAUAGAUGAGACGCAACCGCCUAUAUAAAAAUUUUGAGACAUUUGCCUUCCGACGAUAGGGCUCCCAUAGGGAAUAAUAACGGUAAAU
rnacentral:lncRNA from 1 species